rnacentral:rRNA from 1 species
GCGGCCGGUCGCCUCCCGCGAGUACUGGUCCGGCUGGACCUUUCCUUCUGGGGAACCCCAUGGCCUUCACUGGCUGUGGGGGGAACCAGGACUUUUACUGUGAAAAAAUUAGAGUGUUCAAAGCAGGCCUUUGCUCGAAUACAUUAGCAUGGAAUAAUAGAAUAGGACGUGCGGUUCUAUUUUGUUGGUUUCUAGGACCGCCGUAAUGAUUAAUAGGGAUAGUCGGGGGCGUCAGUAUUCAGCUGUCAGAGGUGAAAUUCUUGGAUUUGCUGAAGACUAACUACUGCGAAAGCAUUCGCCAAGGAUGUUUUCAUUAAUCAGGGAACGAAAGUUAGGGGAUCGAAGACGAUCAGAUACCGUCGUAGUCUUAACCAUAAACUAUGCCGACUAGGGAUCGGACGGUGUUUCUAUUAUGACCCGUUCGGCACCUUACGAGAAAUCAAAGUUUUUGGGUUCUGGGGGGAGUAUGGUCGCAAGGCUGAAACUUAAAGAAAUUGACGGAAGGGCACC